UCUUUUUUUUUUUUUUUUUUUUUUGGAGACGGAGAUUUCCUCUUGUUGCCCAGGCUGGUGGCUCCCCUCCAUUGUGCAAUGAUGCAAUCUCGGCUCACUACAACCUUCACCUCUAGGCUUCAAGCAAUUCUCCUGCCUCAGCCUCCUAAGUAGCUGGGAUUACAGAGACCGGGUUCUUCCAAGUUGUCCAGGCUGGUCUUGAAUUCCUGGGGUGAAGCGAUCCUCCCACCUGGGCCUCCCAAAGUGCUGGGAUUACAGGCCUGAGCCACUGUGACUACCUGAUACGUCUCUUCUCUCUUGCUGCUUUCAAAAUCCUGUCUUUUGUGGGAGGGCAGCUGCCGAGCUCUGGACUUCUACGGGAUCAUCCACUGAGGACAGGAGGACCGGGCCCUCUACAGACACUGCUCUAGUACCAGUCCUGGCUCUUUGCCCCAGGAGCAAAUUAAAAGCUUGACGGCGUCUCCAGGUCUCUGGAUCUCUGUGCAUUGCUCUUCAUGCUUGUUCCUGUUCCUCAGAGGGUACUACCUCAGGCAGCUUCGAUUUUCAAUCAUGGAUCUGAUGACUUUCAACAAACUUUCCUGAGGAAAGUGCUGUUCUCACCAGAAGAGAUCUCAGGACAAAUGUAGACAGCCCUG
rnacentral:lncRNA from 1 species